GACGAACGCUGGCGGCGUGCUUAACACAUGCAAGUCGAACGGAAAGGCCCUGCUUUUGUGGGGUGCUCGAGUGGCGAACGGGUGAGUAACACGUGAGUAACCUGCCCUUGACUUUGGGAUAACUUCAGGAAACUGGGGCUAAUACCGGAUAGGAGCUCCUGCUGCAUGGUGGGGGUUGGAAAGUUUCGGCGGUUGGGGAUGGACUCGCGGCUUAUCAGCUUGUUGGUGGGGUAGUGGCUUACCAAGGCUUUGACGGGUAGCCGGCCUGAGAGGGUGACCGGCCACAUUGGGACUGAGAUACGGCCCAGACUCCUACGGGAGGCAGCAGUGGGGAAUAUUGCACAAUGGGCGGAAGCCUGAUGCAGCAACGCCGCGUGCGGGAUGACGGCCUUCGGGUUGUAAACCGCUUUCGCCUGUGACGAAGCGUGAGUGACGGUAAUGGGUAAAGAAGCACCGGCUAACUACGUGCCAGCAGCCGCGGUGAUACGUAGGGUGCGAGCGUUGUCCGGAUUUAUUGGGCGUAAAGGGCUCGUAGGUGGUUGAUCGCGUCGGAAGUGUAAUCUUGGGGCUUAACCCUGAGCGUGCUUUCGAUACGGGUUGACUUGAGGAAGGUAGGGGAGAAUGGAAUUCCUGGUGGAGCGGUGGAAUGCGCAGAUAUCAGGAGGAACACCAGUGGCGAAGGCGGUUCUCUGGGCCUUUCCUGACGCUGAGGAGCGAAAGCGUGGGGAGCGAACAGGCUUAGAUACCCUGGUAGUCCACGCUGUAAACGGUGGGUACUAGGUGUGGGGUCCAUUCCACGGGUUCCGUGCCGUAGCUAACGCUUUAAGUACCCCGCCUGGGGAGUACGGCCGCAAGGCUAAAACUCAAAGGAAUUGACGGGGCCCCGCACAAGCGGCGGAGCAUGCGGAUUAAUUCGAUGCAACGCGUAGAACCUUACCUGGGUUUGACAUGGAUCGGGAGCGCUCAGAGAUGGGUGUGCCUCUUUUGGGGUCGGUUCACAGGUGGUGCAUGGCUGUCGUCAGCUCGUGUCGUGAGAUGUUGGGUUAAGUCCCGCAACGAGCGCAACCCUUGUUCACUGUUGCCAGCACGUUAUGGUGGGGACUCAGUGGAGACCGCCGGGGUCAACUCGGAGGAAGGUGGGGGUGACGUCAAGUCAUCAUGCCCCUUAUGUCCAGGGCUUCACGCAUGCUACAAUGGCUGGUACAGAGAGUGGCGAGCCUGUGAGGGUGAGCGAAUCUCGGAAAGCCGGUCUCAGUUCGGAUUGGGGUCUGCAACUCGACCUCAUGAAGUCGGAGUCGCUAGUAAUCGCAGAUCAGCAACGCUGCGGUGAAUACGUUCCCGGG
rnacentral:rRNA from 1 species